AUUACAAUACAGCUGGCAAACAGAGACUGUUGCACCAACUGGGAGACUUGAAGCCUCAUCUUUGGUGGCCAGUGAACAUGGAAAUUGUCAUAUAAUCUCCAGAUGAUAGAAAAGAAUGUCUUGUCAGCUGCAGGGAAGUUCUUGAUAAAGUCAUGAGGGUGAUUGGUCCUGGUGUUUUCAGAACUGUCUACUGCAUCCUGAACAUUUUCCAUGCAUCACUGACUGGGAACAUUUUAAGUUGGCGUCAAAGAUAGAGUCUGUGGGGAAGUCUGCACACAAAUAAUACUUCUUCAUUGUUCUUGCUCAGAAGUGUUCAUGCUUUUUGCAAGCUGUUUCACCCACUGUGGCAGAAGAGUAAACUAUAAAUAAUCAAUCAGUUUUUUUCCUUAGCAAGACAUAUUCUCAUUUUCAGAGCCAAUGUACCACUGGAUGACAGAAAGAGAAAGUGCUCAACUCCAUUAGCAUCAGCCAUCCAGUGGGGCCUGACUUGGCAGGCAUGUGAUAACAGCCAUGUAAGGAAGCACAGGAGAGGCCACACAGGAAGAUUAUAUAAAUGAGAACCACAGUUGUAGACAGAUAAUGAAAUACAAUGAGAUGGGCUGGAGUACACUGGGUGUCCUUUGGCAUAAGGAAACAAUCUAUUUUUUAUAAGCUUUUAUUCAAGAAAAAUGUCUUACAUUCACAUAUAUAGACCACAAUUUCCGAGAGUGGCAUAAAACAUAACUCCAAAUCUUGAAGUAGUCUCCUAAGCAGAGAUACUUAUGAAGCAAGAGUUACCUCUGAAAGUGCAGUGACAGUUCCCUGGAAUCAAGCCUUUGGCACCCUAUUUUAUUGUAUUUAGCUCUGAAGUUGGAGGGGAAGGUGAACAAUAGGGUAGUGAACACAGUGUUUGAGCUUGCAGAUUUGGUCAGGGUCAAUAAAAUUGUGUAGAGUGCCCUCACAGGCCAGAAGACAAAAAAAAAAAAAAAAAAAAAAAAAAAAAAAAAAAAAAAAGUGUGAUGUGUCACUGAACAGCUUCUGGAAGCUGCACUAGCAAGGACAUUGUGAGAUCCCUAGACCUAUUUCCACCCUAUCAAACUGGAUCUGGAGAUAUCACAACUAUUGUGGGAACUAUCCUGACUAUUCACGCAUGGUCUGCUGUAAGGUAUUUGCCAGCAGCUCUGGGCAUGGCCCGAGGCUACAAGAAACAAGAUGAGAAGCAAAAUGGUAAUUUCUGUCAAUUAAUUUCUCCUUCUGCUUUUGGUCUAGAUAAGAAAUGGUGGGAAAAGAAAGGGUAAAGUAAGGUAACAGGGAAAGAUAGAGUAUUUGAGUAGAGGGAUUCUUGACCUUUCCUAUACAGAAACCAAAAGGAAGCCAAUCAUCUAGAACUAGUUCAUAAGAGCAAAUUUGCUGCUGAAGAAAAGAUAAGGAAAGAGACUAAGAGCCCAGAUGGAACAGGAUGUUUUAAUGAAAAACUCUCUAAGAAGUUGUUCUGUUGGGAAAACUUGAUUGCCAUGUUCUGGAGGCUUUAUCUCUCACUUGGUGCUCUCAAAGGUGUUACCUCUUGGGCCACAAAAAGGGAAAUUUUACCUAUUAGUCAUGUAGGAACUCUGAGGUGUCCAAAAAAAGAUAUUCACACAGCUAACUGGUUUUGCAGAGGAAAAUAAUUUAGGUUCCCCCAAAAAGCUCAUUGUGGAUGUUUUAAC
ensembl:lncRNA